UUGACCUUUGACCGCAAUAUUGGCGCCAUCUGUGGGAAAGGCUUCAUGCCCAUACUCCUUGACUAAGAGACUAUGUUGUGGUAGUGGGAAGGGCAUCUUUAGUUCCACAUUGGUUAUGAGUUAAGGGAGUAUGGCUGAUAUAAAUUGGAAUCUUUUCUUCCACGUGAGACGUCUUUUAAAAGAUAAAAUCGUGAGACUCUAAAUGACCAAGGCCCACUGAAGUCUAAGGCCCAAAGAUGAUCAUGAGCCAAAGCGGACAAUACUUCACAUAUGCGGAUACGGAGUUAACCCAAUUAUCCAAGCUAUUCGAUCCCUUGACCCUUGACCGCAACAUAUAUCAUUACAUUGAGUAAAAUAUCAAACAUCGCUCAGUUAUGCAUAAACUAAUAAGUCAAAUAUUAUAAAAUUAAUUGCACAUUGCACCUUUCAAAAUAACAUCAAAAUUUCUAGACACUUACAAUCAUAUUCACUUCUAUAUAUGGCA
rnacentral:lncRNA from 1 species